GCUCCGAAAGAAAAUUUGAGUAAAAUCGGGCCGGUCGUUAUUAAAUUUUGCUUAUACACACCUACAUCAUAUGAUAUGCGUAGAAUGGCUGCAAAAGUUAAUCAUUGCUGCAUACCAUACAUAAUCGCAUCAAUCCGUGAUUAUACCAAUUGUCACAGUAUGCGGUUUAUUAUUGCCUUGUUAUUAUUAACAUCAUCUUACGUAUCUCCUUUAAAUAAUGGACUGGCGCUUACACCUCCAAUGGGCUGGUUGUCAUGGGAAAGGUUCCGAUGUAACACUGAUUGCGAAAAUGAUCCGGAAAAUUGCAUCAGCGAGCACUUGUUUAAAACCAUGGCAGAUCUUCUUAUAACUGAUGGUUAUGCAUCUGUCGGAUACGAAUAUAUUAAUAUUGACGAUUGCUGGUUAGAGAAAAAAAGGUCUUUAAAUGGCCACCUGGUGCCUGAUAAAUUGAGAUUUCCUAGUGGUAUGAAAUCUCUUGCAAACUAUGUUCAUUCCAGGGGUCUUAAAUUUGGCAUAUAUGAAGAUUUUGGAAAUUACACAUGCGCCGGGUAUCCAGGUAUAAUAGGACACCAAAUAUCAGACGCCAAUCAGUUUGCGGAAUGGGGCGUUGAUUAUGUUAAGCUCGAUGGAUGUUACGCAUUUCCAGAAGAUAUGGACAAAGGAUAUAGCGAUUUUCAGACAGUAUUGAAUAAUACAGGGAGACCAAUGGUUUUUUCAUGUAGUUGGCCCGUUUAUCAAAUAUACGCUGGUAUUCAGCCCAACUUUAGCAAGGUAAUGGAACAUUGUAAUAUGUGGAGAAAUUUUGAUGAUGUUCAAGAUUCGUGGGCAUCUGUAGAGAGUAUAAUCGAUUAUUAUGGAGAUAACCAGGAUCAUAUUGCACAAUUUGCUGGCCCAGGACAUUGGAACGAUCCGGAUAUGUUGAUAAUUGGUAACUUUGGCCUCAGUUAUGAUCAAGCCAAAACUCAGUUUGCUAUUUGGUCUAUAAUGGCAGCACCUCUGUUGAUGUCAGUUGAUUUACGAACGAUACGUCCGGAAUUCAAGGCUAUCUUGCAGAACAGAAAGAUUAUUUCCGUAGAUCAAGAUCCAUUGGGCAUUCAAGGACGGAGGAUAUACAAGCAUAAAGGAAUUGAAAUAUGGUCCAAACCAAUUACACCUACACAGGAUCUGCAUUACUCUUAUGCAAUAGCGUUCGUAAAUAGAAGAACCGAUGGUACUCCGUCAGAUAUUGCUGUUACGCUCAAGGAAUUAGGAUUAGUAUCAACACACGGUUACCGAGUUCAAUUCGCGUACCAAGGCUGCUGGCUAUAAAAGGCCUGACGUGGACAUACGACGUGGACAUACAUAGGCAUUGUUUGUCUUAAGCCAUUACCAUAUUCAAAUUCGAAACGGUGAAUAAUGUAGCUAAAAUCAUCAAAAUAUCGUAUAUAAGGAGGUGCCGUUAAAUUGGAGCUGUGCGAAGACCUGGACCAGCAUAGACAAUUUUCUGUCACAGGCUGUAGCAUCCAUUACGAACUUCAAAUACCACAUCUCAAACAAUUUCGGAUUUAUAUGAAAACGUCGAUUACGGAGUUCUCCAUUCCAAUACCAAAAUAAAAGUGAAGGUUAAUCCAUCCGGUGUUGUGAUGUUAAGGGCUGAAGUUCACAAUCA